rnacentral:lncRNA from 1 species
GAUGGAAAUAGCUACCUCAGCACUAAAGGGGAGGUUGAAUGGUAUCUCCUCAAUAGACAUCUGAGGAGCUAUCUGAUAAGCUUAGAGCACACUAUGGAGUUCUUCAGCCUAGAGUCCUUUAGCUCGAUCAAGCCUUGACUUCAGUCCUCGUAAGAUCAUAUGAUUUAUCACCUCAGCUUUUUCAUUUGAUUGUGGAUGGCUAACUAUAGUAAGCCUAUGGUCAAUAUGAAGUUUUGAACAAAAUUCUUUGAACUUCAGAUUAUUG